rnacentral:sRNA from 1 species
UACACGAUGAACAAUUGUCGCUGGUUC